rnacentral:rRNA from 1 species
AUUGAACGCUGGCGGCAGGCCUAACACAUGCAAGUCGAACGAGUGGCGGACGGGUGAGUAAUGUCUGGGAAACUGCCCGAUGGAGGGGGAUAACUACUGGAAACGGUAGCUAAUACCGCAUACCAUCGGAUGUGCCCAGAUGGGAUUAGCUAGUAGGUGGGGUAAUGGCUCACCUAGGCGACGAUCCCUAGCUGGUCUGAGAGGAUGACCAACCACACUGGAACUGAAGAACGGUCCGGACUCCAACGGGAGGCAGCAGUGGGGAAUAUUGAACAAGAGGCGCAAGCAUAAUGCAGCCAUGCCGCGUGUAUGAAGAAGGCCUUCGGGUUGUAAAGUACUUUCAGCGAGGAGGCGUUACUCGCAGAAGAAGCACCGGCUAACUCCGUGCCAGCAGCCGCGGUAAUUC